rnacentral:rRNA from 1 species
AUACCCUGGUAGUCCACGCCGUAAACGAUGUCGACUUGGAGGUUGUGCCCUUGAGGCGUGGCUUCCGGAGCUAACGCGUUAAGUCGACCGCCUGGGGAGUACGGCCGCAAGGUUAAAACUCAAAUGAAUUGACGGGGGCCCGCACAAGCGGUGGAGCAUGUGGUUUAAUUCGAUGCAACGCGAAGAACCUUACCUGGUCUUGACAUCCACGGAAGUUUUCAGAGAUGAGAAUGUGCCUUCGGGAACCGUGAGACAGGUGCUGCAUGGCUGUCGUCAGCUCGUGUUGUGAAAUGUUGGGUUAAGUCCCGCAACGAGCGCAACCCUUAUCCUUUGUUGCCAGCGGUCCGGCCGGGAACUCAAAGGAGACUGCCAGUGAUAAACUGGAGGAAGGUGGGGAUGACGUCAAGUCAUCAUGGCCCUUACGACCAGGGCUACACACGUGCUACAAUGGCGCAUACAAAGAGAAGCGACCUCGCGAGAGCAAGCGGACCUCAUAAAGUGCGUCGUAGUCCGGAUUGGAGUCUGCAACUCGACUCCAUGAAGUCGGAAUCGCUAGUAAUCGUGGAUCAGAAUGCCACGGUGAAUACGUUCCCGGGCCUUGUACACACCGCCCGUCACACCAUGGGAGUGGGUUGCAAAAGAAGUAGGUAGCUUAACCUUCGGGAGGGCGCUUACCACUUUGUGAUUCAUGACUGGGGUGAAGUCGUAACAA